rnacentral:rRNA from 1 species
AAUCAACGCUGGCGGCGUGCCUAACACAUGCAAGUCGAACGCGAAAGCCCCGCAAGGGGUAAGUAGAGUGGCAAACGGGUGAGUAACACGUGGGUGACCUGCCUUAGAGUGGGGGAUAACGUCCCGAAAGGGACGCUAAUACCGCAUAACAUCCUGCCUUUGAAGAGGUGGAGAUCAAAGCCGGGGACCGCAAGGCCUGGCGCUCAAAGAGGGGCCCGCGCCUGAUUAGCUAGUUGGUGAGGAAUGGCUCACCAAGGCAACGAUCAGUAUCCGGCCUGAGAGGGCGGACGGACACACUGGGGACU